AUCUUACAACUCUAUAAUUUAGGGUUAAUUUUUCUGCACUAGUAGUCCUAUAUAGUUUUAUUUUUUAAUAUUCUUUUUUUUUUUUUGAGAGAGAGAUAGGUCGCACGCUACCCGCUUCAUUUAUUUCAUUUAAAAAUAAACUUAGCUGGAAAUGUGAAUCAACUAUGAUUCAAACUUGGGUCUCGGAUACCAACCACCAAACCCUUUGCAAAAAGCUUCUUAAACCCUAGAAGGAGCGAAUAUUUCAC
rnacentral:lncRNA from 1 species